UACAGCCACAUCAUGUUGAAAUGCCGCUUCCUGUAUGAUCAGCAAAGUUAAGCAAUACUGAGCCUGGUCAGUACCUAGAGGGGUGACCGCUUGGGAAUACCAAGUGCU